GGGGGUGAAACAGAUUCGACGUGUCUACCUGAAUCGACGGAAGCGUGCCGAGGGCCCCGGACCCUCGUGAAUCCACCGGGAAACCUUCAAGUGCCAACGACAACCUGGCGCUGGCCGCGUAACUGACGCGACCCGUCCCCGGAACCCGCCCUGCCUGAGGCGGUCCGAGGGGCGUCAUGAAUCGGGCUGGCCGGACGCGGGAGCCGUGACCGUGACCGGCGAGAGGGGCGACAGCCCCGAGCGGCUGGCCGGAGGAAGGGCCGUCGAGGAGCCCUGCCGCUGGUGAGAUUGAAUCCUCGAACACGCACGUAGACGCCGAAGAGGACGGAUUCGCGGACCCGGGUGCGAUUCCCGGCACCUCCAUGA
rnacentral:tmRNA from 1 species